CAGGGUGCAGCUGGAGGGC
rnacentral:miRNA from 1 species